UGGCUCAGAUUGAACGCUGGCGGCAGGCCUAACACAUGCAAGUCGAGCGGAUGAGAAGAGCUUGCUCUUCGAUUCAGCGGCGGACGGGUGAGUAAUACCUAGGAAUCUGCCUGGUAGUGGGGGGCAACGUUUCGAAAGGAACGCUAAUACCGCAUACGUCCUACGGGAGAAAGCAGGGGACCUUCGGGCCUUGCGCUAUCAGAUGAGCCUAGGUCGGAUUAGCUAGUUGGUGAGGUAAUGGCUCACCAAGGCUACGAUCCGUAACUGGUCUGAGAGGAUGAUCAGUCACACUGGAACUGAGACACGGUCCAGACUCCUACGGGAGGCAGCAGUGGGGAAUAUUGGACAAUGGGCGAAAGCCUGAUCCAGCCAUGCCGCGUGUGUGAAGAAGGUCUUCGGAUUGUAAAGCACUUUAAGUUGGGAGGAAGGGCAGUAAGCGAAUACCUUGCUGUUUUGACGUUACCGACAGAAUAAGCACCGGCUAACUCUGUGCCAGCAGCCGCGGUAAUACAGAGGGUGCAAGCGUUAAUCGGAAUUACUGGGCGUAAAGCGCGCGUAGGUGGUUCGUUAAGUUGGAUGUGAAAUCCCCGGGCUCAACCUGGGAACUGCAUCCAAAACUGGCGAGCUAGAGUAGGGCAGAGGGUGGUGGAAUUUCCUGUGUAGCGGUGAAAUGCGUAGAUAUAGGAAGGAACACCAGUGGCGAAGGCGACCACCUGGGCUCAUACUGACACUGAGGUGCGAAAGCGUGGGGAGCAAACAGGAU
rnacentral:rRNA from 1 species